CUCACAUCACCCCAAUAUGUUUGCCCCUCCCACUGCUCUGCCUCCUCCACCACCACUGACAUCAGGAAGUCUGCAGGUGGCCGGACACCCGGCCGGGAGCACUUACUCAGAGCAAGACAUCUUGCGACAGGAACUGAACACUCGUUUUUUGGCCUCUCAGAGUGCUGACCGCGGGGCUUCCCUGGGCCCUCCGCCCUACCUGCGGACCGAGUUCCAUCAGCACCAGCACCAGCACCAGCACACCCACCAGCACACGCACCAGCACACCUUCACGCCGUUCCCCCACGCCAUCCCACCCACCGCCAUCAUGCCGACGCCAGCACCUCCCAUGGUGCGUACCCCAGGCAGAAAUGUGAGGAUAAGUAGAG
rnacentral:lncRNA from 1 species